GUAUUGUUGUACUGCUCCAAAGUGCUUGUUGACAGACUGAAACCACUUGCUUGCAGCUCUUAAGGUUUACUUCUUGAGAGCCGGCAGCUACAAAAUGGAAGGUCAACAAAUCCAGUAUACUUGAAAAGCAAGAAAGAAACACCAGAAAAUAUGAAAAGACAGAAGAGCAAGGGAACUUGAA
rnacentral:lncRNA from 1 species